rnacentral:tRNA from 1 species
GGAGGGGUGCCAGAGUGGACGAUUGGGCACGCCUGGAGAGCGUGUGUACCCUUUGGGUACCGUGGGUUCGAAUCCCACCCCCUCCGCCA